rnacentral:rRNA from 1 species
AUUGAACGCUAGCGGGAUGCCUUACACAUGCAAGUCGAACGGAGUGGCGAACGGGGGAGUAAUGUAUGGGAACGUGCCCAGUAGCGGGGGAUAAAUCCGCGAAAGCGAAGCUUAUACCGCAUACUAUUAGAGCGCCCGAUAUGGAAUUAGCUAGUUGGUGGGGUAACGGCUCACCAAGGCGACGAGCCGUAGCUGGUCUGAGAGGACGACCAGCCACACUGGGACUGAGACACGGCCCAGACUCCUACGGGAGGCAGCAGUGGGGAAUUUUGGGCAAUGGAGGAAACCCUGAUCCAGCCAUCCCGCGUGUGCGAUGAAGGCCUUCGGGUUGUAAAGCACUUUUGGCAGGAAAGCGGUACCUGCAGAAUAAGCACCGGCUAACUACGUGCCAGCAGCCGCGGUAAUUC